GUGGAAGGAAUUCUCUGGGCAUAGGCUGCUGUCAGAUUCUGUUUUCCUACCUUGGUGAUCUGGUGUGUGAUCAGCAGAAGGGUUUAACAUCGGUGGCUCUGUGUGACAAUGGCUUGCCUACGGAAAAAUGGACAACUGCUGGACUUCGGUAAAUUCGUCCUGGUGGUGGACCAACUGCAUAUUCAAUCCCCAGAGAAGAGACUGCUACUAGAAUAUUGUUAAAGUUUUCUUCAUAUUCCAGAUGAUGAAGAUUUACAAAGAGCAUUUCAACACUCAUGUGACCAUUCAGGAUGAUUUUCCAUGUAACCUCCAGGAGAGCUGGGACCUUACCUGUCUUGUUCCUUACUGUAUUUCCUGCUUCUAGAAUGGCGUCUGGUACAGCAAGCUGAGGCUCAGAGAAUUGAAGCGUCUCAAACAAGUGGCAAAGCGGCGUUCAAACUCAUGCUUGUCCGACUGGAAAGUAAUCAAACCUAAAGACUCAUGAGAGGAAAGCAGAAAUCGUUGCUGUGAGGAGAGAGCUGCAGACUCAAGCUUGAUAGGCCAGGAGGAGCUGAUGUCAAGUUUUGGAUUCUGCCCUGCAACUGUGCAGGAGGUCUUGACCUGUAGGCAGUGGGCUCGGGGCUGAUUCAUUCAGACUAUGAAUCAGGAUCUUAAGAAGAAUUGAAAACAGGACCCAUGACCCUAGUCUUGUUCUCUGUUCCGACUGCUAACUGCUGACUGCCAUCAGCUCCCCACGCUGUGAAUAUGGAGAGCUCUGUAAAUGCUGACUGACAAACAGGCUGAGAGAUAAUUGGACAUCAUUUCUGGCUGGCAGACUUUUUUGACUCUUUUCAAGGCUAGUAAAACUUUUCUGCCUUGAUUCUUACAUCCUGGCCAUUCUUAGAGAAGGGAGGUGGGACUCAGAGGAGGGUCAAACAGUUGUUCACUUCAGGUACAAGGACGUUUCCAGUCCAUCCAGAGAGCACCAGGGGGAGAAGGUUCAGGAGUGGUGGCACCGGUCGAGUCAGCUGCCACGGAUCCUGGCCAUGGUCACGGGCAUCAGGCACAUUCGUGACCACCCCUGGUGGGCAGGCAGCAUCUUCCACAGACUCUCUCCCUCACGCUCACUCUCUUUCCUCAACCACCUCAAGCCCUCAGUUCUUAUGUUACCACCAUCCCUUCCUGCUAGGCUGUCUCCUGAAUUACACUGUGCUAAGAGUCUCUUCCCCAGCCUAGAGUUCUACUGCAAGAGGCACUUCCAGGACUGGAGCUUCAGAAAGGGUAGUGUCCGCUGUGUUUUUUAAAAAAAUUUUUAUUCUUAUACAAUUUUUAAAGGUUACUUUCCAUUUACAGUUAUUAAAAAAUAUUGGCUAUACUCCCCAUGUUUUUCCAUCCAUCCUUGAGUCUAUCUUACACCCAAUAGCUUCUACCUCCCACUCCCCCGCCCCUAUGUUCCCCCCACCACUGGUAACAAGUUUGUUCUCUAGAUCUGUGAGUCUGCUUCUUUUUUGCUAUAUUUACUAGUUUGUUGUAUUUUUUAGAUUCCACAU